AAACUACAAGGGGAGCUCGAGGCUCCCCCAGAAGUAGUUGUGUGCUCUUUUUAUUAUGGUCGCGGGCUUCUUGUUUUUGUGAUUGCCCUGUGUCGCAGGUCUUCUUGCCUGUGACAUCUCCCAAUCGGGAGAUAAGAGCAAACGGAUUGUUUUGGUCGCUGUGUUGUGGUGAUCCGUGGAUCCAACCAGUUCAGGCUCUGCGUCAAGUGCAGUU
rnacentral:sRNA from 1 species